AGCCUAUCUAAACCGAUAUAUAGCCUACACCUUCUUAGAAAAUCUUGAAUACUAGCCCAAAACGCAAUAAACAUUCUGUGAAAAUAUUGUUUGCCCUUCACCUCUAUCAAUUUAAUCUGCAUAUGACUACCUACGAUUCUUCUCGUAGUCUCACCACAAAAAUCAAAAACUCUUCAAAAUGAUAAUUCCCAAUUUUUGUAGUAUACUGAAUUCUAGUGUACUAUACUGAACUUUUGUCAAAUUGAAUAAAGUGAAGUAUAAAUGAAUGAGACAUGUUUGGAAUUGAGUUCCGAAGGUUCUAGAACGAUUAGACGCGAGGUAGAACUCGGAUGACCGAAAAUGAGAAUUUUUUAUAAAGAUAUGACUGAAUUGGUGAGCUUUCAGGGU
rnacentral:lncRNA from 1 species